rnacentral:piRNA from 1 species
UGCUAUGUCAGAAACAUAAAUGUGU